UGAUUGAAAAUAACUCUGGACGUGGGAAGU
rnacentral:piRNA from 1 species